UGGGGAAUAUUGCACAAUGGGCGAAAGCCUGAUGCAGCAACGCCGCGUGAGUGAUGAAGGCCUUCGGGUUGUAAAGCUCUGUCUUUUGGGACGAUAAUGACGGUACCAAAGGAGGAAGCCACGGCUAACUACGUGCCAGCAGCCGCGGUAAUACGUAGGUGGCAAGCGUUGUCCGGAAUUACUGGGCGUAAAGAAUGCGUAGGUGGAUAUGCAAGUCAGAUGUGAAAUACCCGGGCUCAACUUGGGUGCUGCAUUUGAAACUAUAUAUCUAGAGUGCAGGAGAGGAAAGCGGAAUUCCUAGUUUAGCGGUGAAAUGCGUAGAGAUUAGGAAGAACACCAGUGGCGAAGGCGGCUUUCUGGACUGUAACUGACACUGAGGCAUGAAAGCGUGGGGAGCAAACA
rnacentral:rRNA from 1 species